AUACUCUGGUUUCUCUUCAGAUCGUACAAAUCUUUCACCUUUUACUAAAGAUUUCUGUGGAGAGGAACAGUUAGGAGUCUUUAACCAAUUUUUUGAAGCUUUACUUUCUACGGGGCU
ensembl:snRNA U5 U5 spliceosomal RNA